rnacentral:rRNA from 1 species
UGGGGAAUAUUGCACAAUGGGGGAAACCCUGAUGCAGCGACGCCGCGUGAGCGAUGAAGUAUUUCGGUAUGUAAAGCUCUAUCAGCAGGGAAGAAAAUGACGGUACCUGACUAAGAAGCCCCGGCUAACUACGUGCCAGCAGCCGCGGUAAUACGUAGGGGGCAAGCGUUAUCCGGAUUUACUGGGUGUAAAGGGAGCGUAGGUGGCUGUGCAAGUCAGAAGUGAAAGCCCGGGGCUUAACCCCGGGACUGCUUUUGAAACUGUGCGGCUGGAGUGCAGGAGAGGUAAGUGGAAUUCCUAGUGUAGCGGUGAAAUGCGUAGAUAUUAGGAGGAACACCGGUGGCGAAGGCGGCUUACUGGACUGUAACUGACACUGAGGCUCGAAAGCGUGGGGAGCAAACA